AAAGAGAUGGCCGAGUGGUUAAAGGCGACAGACUGUAAAUCUGUUAGAUUCAUUCUUUCGCAGGUUCGAAUCCUGCUCUCG
rnacentral:tRNA from 1 species